rnacentral:rRNA from 1 species
CUUCUCCGGAUGAGUUGCGAACGGGUGAGUAACGCGUAGGUAACCUGCCUGGUAGCGGGGGAUAACUAUUGGAAACGAUAGCUAAUACCGCAUAAGAGUAGAUGUUGCAUGACAUUUGCUUAAAAGGUGCAAUUGCACCACUACCAGAUGGACCUGCGUUGUAUUAGCUAGUUGGUGGGGUAACGGCUCACCAAGGCGACGAUACAUAGCCGACCUGAGAGGGUGAUCGGCCACACUGGGACUGAGACACGGCCCAGACUCCUACGGGAGGCAGCAGUAGGGAAUCUUCGGCAAUGGACGGAAGUCUGACCGAGCAACGCCGCGUGAGUGAAGAAGGUUUUCGGAUCGUAAAGCUCUGUUGUAAGAGAAGAACGAGUGUGAGAGUGGAAAGUUCACACUGUGACGGUAUCUUACCAGAAAGGGACGGCUAACUACGUGCCAGCAGCCGCGGUAAUACGUAGGUCCCGAGCGUUGUCCGGAUUUAUUGGGCGUAAAGCGAGCGCAGGCGGUUAGAUAAGUCUGAAGUUAAAGGCUGUGGCUUAACCAUAGUACGCUUUGGAAACUGUUUAACUUGAGUGCAAGAGGGGAGAGUGGAAUUCCAUGUGUAGCGGUGAAAUGCGUAGAUAUAUGGAGGAACACCGGUGGCGAAAGCGGCUCUCUGGCUUGUAACUGACGCUGAGGCUCGAAAGCGUGGGGAGCAAACAGGAUUAG